GAUAUGGGGCUUCUACAAGCAAGGCUACAAGUGUAAAGCCUGUGGGGUGAACUGCCACAAGGCCUGUCGGAGCCGCCUGGCCGUGGAGUGCAGGAAAAGGACGAAGAGCAUCAGCCACGAGACGCCUCCCGCCCUCCAGGCCAGAUCCUACAGCUUCCCCCCACCUGCCAACACUCCACCCAGCCUGCAGCACUCAGUAAUUGCUGAAGAGGAUUUAGAGACCUUGGAGGAAGGAGUGUUUGAUGUCCACCUAUAACCAGGCCAGUCUGCAGCUCUCUAUUUUAGAAUCCCUCCUACGGCUGGUGUGCACGAAGCUAAAUCAGCGUCUGUGGGGCCCUGACACAGAAUGUGCUACAGUAUGUCAGUUUUACAGCCCUCAAACUGAAGAGAAAUGCACUGAACACAAGCCAGGAUCCCUCCAUGCUGCCACACAGUGGACACAUCCUGCAACAGCACCCCCACCCAACUUACAUGAAUGUGAAGACCAAUGUGAAUGGAAUGUCUUUGUAUGAAAAUAAAUGUACAAUCUCUGCAUUAUGAUUCUGUAUUGGCCAAAAGUGUUACUGUUAAACUUACUAUAUAUAUUAAAAAAUAUCCACAAAAUUGUAUUUUCUUCGUGGAAUGCUAAAGUCAGUGGAGUUUAUAAUUUCAUUGCACAAUCGUAAUGGCUGUCUACAUUUUUAUUUUCUGUAAAAAAACAAACAUAUAAGAGGUGCUGUUCUCGCCAAGAAUGUAAACCAGACAGCUUCUGUCUUCUUUGCCUGAGAAGCUUUUUAUUGUACAUCAUGUUAUUUUGAAACACAUUUCAAUGGACCAAUAAUAAUAGGACCCAUUUUGAUGUCAGAUAUAAUAUUGUUGAUUCGUGGUGCCCGUCUGAAGCAUGAUGACAAAAGCAAACCAUUUUUCCGAGCGCUGAAAUGACUGUGUGGACAGUUAUGAUUAGAAAGGACUUUGAUCAAUGUUAUAUUUUUGUCAUGUUUACCGGAAUAUCAGUAACUGUCCUGUAGUUAUUGCUGUGGUGUUGUUCUCAGUAUACAGUCCUGUCUUGUACCAGUGCAUUGAUAGAUGAUCCAUCCUCUUGCUGUGCUGUGAAUGUAGCACACACAGUAAAACGCUGCUGUCAGAUAAAGAUCUCAUUUUCCCAGAGACUGUAUGCUGACAGCGGAGACUAAAAGCCUGGCUAACGUUAAAUCAGUUUUUGUUCCCGGUUCUUAGACUGUCAGUGAAAACAAAAGAAUCAGAAGAAUAAUACCAACAUUGGAGUAAUGAAUCUCGUCAUCUGACAGCAGCGUAUAAAUAUUAUAUUAUUUCCCUGAGAAUCUGCUUUGAUGCAAGUUGUAUUUUGCUGUUUUUAUCCUGCAUGCUUCUCCUUUCAUGGCUCUAUUCUCUGACCAGACAUCUCUAUUACUGAGGAUCUUCUUUAUUUUUAAUGUAGCAUGCCAAGUCAUCAUUUAUUUAGGAAACAUGAAGUGUUGAAAUUCCAACAGAAGAAAUGUUUCUUUUGCUUUGUGCCUGUGGAAAGAUGAGUUCAGACUUUAAGAGCCUACUGUUAAGCACUGCUUGGUUUUUGAAUGAGAAUCCUCACAUUGCUGGUAUUUAUUUUUCUGUAUAAAUAGCUAAAUAGCUGCCGGUUCUAUUCUGACGAAUGAUGUUUGUUGUCAUUCUGUGAAUGCAUUUUUCAGACUGAUGUCAUGCUACUCCUUGUGGUCGAUUCCCCAGUAUUAAAAGAAGCAGGCAUCACUCUAAUAUGUGUUCUCAUUCAGAAAAGGGUUUUGUCUCUAUGAAAUUCAA